rnacentral:rRNA from 1 species
UAACCUGCGGAAGGAUCAUUACUGAGUGCGGGCUGCCUCCGGGCGCCCAACCUCCCACCCGUGAAUACCUAACACUGUUGCUUCGGCGGGGAACCCCCUCGGGGGCGAGCCGCCGGGGACUACUGAACUUCAUGCCUGAGAGUGAUGCAGUCUGAGUCUGAAUAUAAAAUCAGUCAAAACUUUCAACAAUGGAUCUCUUGGUUCCGGCAUCGAUGAAGAACGCAGCGAACUGCGAUAAGUAAUGUGAAUUGCAGAAUUCAGUGAAUCAUCGAGUCUUUGAACGCACAUUGCGCCCCCUGGCAUUCCGGGGGGCAUGCCUGUCCGAGCGUCAUUGCUGCCCAUCAAGCCCGGCUUGUGUGUUGGGUCGUCGUCCCCCCCGGGGGACGGGCCCGAAAGGCAGCGGCGGCACCGUGUCCGGUCCUCGAGCGUAUGGGGCUUUGUCACCCGCUCGACUAGGGCCGGCCGGGCGCCAGCCGACGUCUCCAACCAUUUUCUUCAGGUUGACCUC